GACGAACGCUGGCGGCGUGCCUAACACAUGCAAGUCGAGCGAGAAAGGGGAGCAAUCCCCGAGUAAAGCGGCAGACGGGUGAGUAACACGUGGGUAAUCUGCCCUCGGGCGGGGAAUAACAUCCCGAAAGAGGUGCUAAUACCGCAUAACAUCCAUGGACCUGUGGGUUCGUGGAUCAAAGGUGGGGGAUCUUCGGACCUACCACUCGAGGAGGAGCCCGCGCCUGAUUAGCUAGUUGGGNGGGG
rnacentral:rRNA from 1 species